rnacentral:rRNA from 1 species
AUGAACGCUAGCGGCAGGCCUAACACAUGCAAGUCGAGGGGUAACAGGGAGCUUGCUCCGCUGACGACCGGCGCACGGGUGCGUAACACGUAUGCAAUCUGCCUUGAGCAGGGGGAUAACCCGGAGAAAUCCGGCCUAAUACCCCAUGGCGCGUUCUGGCGGCAUCGCCGGAACGCUAAAGAUUUAUCGGCUCAAGAUGAGCAUGCGUCCUAUUAGCUAGAUGGCGGGGUAACGGCCCACCAUGGCGACGAUAGGUAGGGGUUCUGAGAGGAAGGUCCCCCACACUGGUACUGAGACACGGACCAGACUCCUACGGGAGGCAGCAGUGAGGAAUAUUGGUCAAUGGGCGCAAGCCUGAACCAGCCAUGCCGCGUGCAGAAUGACGGCCCUACGGGUUGUAAACUGCUUUUGUACGGGGGCAAACCCUACCUUGCGAGGUAGGUUGAGAGUACCGUACGAAUAAGGAUCGGGCUAACUCCGUGCCAGCAGCCGCGGUAAUACGGAGGAUCCGAGCGUUAUCCGGAUUCAUUGGGUUUAAAG